GCCCUCUCUGAUCUGGAGAUCAUCUCCAAAAUCCUUGCUGGCUUGGACAUGGAGUACAACCCGGUGGUUUCUGCGCUUGCCACCAGGAUGGAAUCCAUCACCGUCCAAGAACUCUAAGCCAGCUGCUCAGUUUUGAUG
rfam:Triticum aestivum genome assembly, contig: Triticum_aestivum_CS42_TGACv1_scaffold_146805_2BS